AAGAAGUUUUUUUUUUUUUGGCUAAAUUACAGAAAAUUCCUCCGUUAAAAUCCGAUUUUUUACUUUUCUCUCCUGUCAUUUAAAAACCUACACUUUACCCUUUUGUAAAAUAAAAAAUAUUCACAUGAAUACGGUAUGAACUGUGAUGACAAAAUAACCAUUUUGCCCCUCAUCAUGUUCACAUUAGAGAAGACUGAGGGUAUUUUUGACAUAAAAAAUAUAUAUAAUAAUAUUUUAUAAACGACACCCUAACAGUUUACUAACAGAAGGGGGCGAAGUGAAUAUUUUUUAUUUUACAAGGGGGCAAAGUGUAGAUUUUUAAAUUACAAGAAGGGAAAGUGAAAAAUCAGAUUUUGACAUAAGGAUUUU
rnacentral:lncRNA from 1 species